GGCCACCGUGCGCGCGGAUUUUCUCAGCCGGUUCUAUCCAGCCAGAGGCCCCCUCACGGGCACGUUCUUCGCAGUGAGCGCCGGCCUGGGUCCCGGCUUGCUCCACCUUGGCGUUUUUUAUGUCUGUCCUGCUGCUACCCCUGACCCACAGCUCUUUUCCGAGGGCAGUUGAGAAAGCUGAGAAACACAUAGAGCGCUUGGUGUGUGCCUCCCGCUAGGUGUCUCCCAGUUUGCAAGUAGUUGGAAUGACCAUUAAGACCUAAUACCAGAUAAGAAAAAGCUUUUAGACUCUACAGCCUGAGACCACCAGGGACACUCUUUAGACAAGGAAUUGGUGGAGGGAGGAGUUUAAAGCCUGGAUGAGUACAAAGGUGAAACAAGAAACGAGCACAGAUGCUCUGGGCAGGGACGUUGGUGGUUUGAAACUCAGCCUAAAAUACCUCCAAGGUAGACCCAUACACAAUUUGAUGAGUCUGAAUGUAUGCAUACACAUGUGAAACUAUAGUCAAGGCCUUUCUGUUUAAUGUUCCAUUUGAGAAAAAUAUCAAGGAGGUAUUUAUUCCCUCCAGUUAAAGGCCUGUGUG